CGCGUAGGUGGCUUGGUAAGCGUGUGGUGAAAGUCCGGGGCUCAACCCCGGAUCUGCCAUGCGAACUGCCGAGCUCGAGCAUUGUAGAGGCAGGUGGAAUUUCGGGUGUAGCGGUGGAAUGCGUAGAUAUCCGAAAGAACACCGGUGGCGAAGGCGGCCUGCUGGGCAAUUGCUGACACUGAGGCGCGACAGCGUGGGGAGCAAACA
rnacentral:rRNA from 1 species